rnacentral:rRNA from 1 species
UACGGAGGGGGCUAGCGUUGUUCGGAAGUACUGGUCGUAAAGCGCACGUAGGCGGCUUUGCAAGUUAGAGGUGAAAGCCCGGGGCUCAACUCCGGAAUUGCCUUUAAAACUGCAUCGCUAGAAUUGUGGAGAGGUAAGUGGAAUUCCGAGUGUAGAGGUGAAAUUCGUAGAUAUUCGGAAGAACACCAGUGGCGAAGGCGACUUACUGGACACAUAUUGACGCUGAGGUGCGGAAGCGUGGGGAGCAAACAGG